rnacentral:rRNA from 1 species
GUCGAGCGAGAAGGGACUUCGGUCCUGAGUAAAGCGGCGGACGGGUGAGGAACACGUAGGUAAUCUGCCUUUUAGUGGAGGACAACGGUCCGAAAGGACCGCUAAUACUGCAUACGUUCCUUGGGACUCCGGUCCUGGGGAGGAAAGCCUCGCAAGGGGCGCUAAAAGAGGAGCCUGCGUCGCAUCAGCUAGUUGGUGGGGUAACGGCCUACCAAGGCGAAGACGCGUAGCUGGUCUGAGAGGAUGAUCAGCCACACUGGGACUGAGACACGGCCCAGACUCCUACGGGAGGCAGCAGUGGGGAAUAUUGGACAAUGGGGGCAACCCUGAUCCAGCCACGCCGCGUGAGUGAUGAAGGCCUUCGGGUCGUAAAGCUCUGUGGGGAGGGACGAACGUCCCCGUGAAGAACGGGGGGUGACGGUACCUCCUUAGCAAGCACCGGCUAACUUCGUGCCAGCAGCCGCGGUAAUACGAAGGGUGCAAACGUUGCUCGGAAUCAUUGGGCGUAAAGCGCACGUAGGCGGCCUCAUAAGUCGGAUGUGAAAUCCCUCGGCUCAACCGAGGAAGUGCAUCCGAAACUGCGAGGCUCGAGUAUGGAAGAGGGUCGCAGAAUUCCCGGUGUAGAGGUGAAAUUCGUAGAUAUCGGGAGGAAUACCAGUGGCGAAGGCGGCGACCUGGGCCAAUACUGACGCUGAGGUGC